rnacentral:rRNA from 1 species
UACGUAGGCACCAAGCGUUGUCCGGAUUUAUUGGGCGUAAAGAGCUCGUAGGCGGUUCGGUUAGUCGGGUGUGAAAACUUUGGGCUCAACUCAAAGACUGCACUCGAUACUGCUGUGACUUGAGUCCGGUAGGGGAGUGGGGAAUUCCUGGUGUAGCGGUGGAAUGCGCAGAUAUUGGGAGGAACACCAGUGGCGAAGGCGGCAUCCUGGACCGGGAUUGACACUGAGGCGCGAAAGCCAGGGAGCAAACGGG